GCCGAAGUGGUGAAAUUGGCAAACACGCUAGGUUCAGGGUCUAGUGGGAGCAAUCCCUUGGGGGUUCGAGUCCCCCCUUCGGCA
rnacentral:tRNA from 1 species